rnacentral:tRNA from 1 species
GGAGAGAUGGCCGAGUGGUUGAAGGCGGUAGACUCGAAAUCUAUUGUGCGUUUUAACGUACCGGGGGUUCGAAUCCCUCUCUCUCCG